rnacentral:lncRNA from 1 species
AAAAUUGAAGGAAUAGAAAUCACAGUGGCAGGACUGGAGGAGAUGGCUAUGUGAAGAGUGCUCACUUCAGAAGUAUGAGGACCUGAGUUAGGGUAUUAGGACCCACAUAAAAAGUCAGAAAUGGCUGCCGGUGUCUAUAAAAUCUGCAAGCUUUGGGUCAGAGACAGAUGAAUUUCUGGGACUUGCUGUCCAGUUAGCCUGCAUUUAAAAGGAGGGGAAGGCAAGCUUCAGGUUCAGUAAGAGACCCUUUCUUGGGGAAUGAGGAGAGUGACUGAGGACAACACAGAAAUCAGUGUUGAUUUCUUUGAGACUAGGAAAAGCAGAGGAGGAUCUUGAAUACAACCUGGCCUGCGUAGUCAUAUCCUUCCUCAAAAAACAACUUAAAGAUGGUGCAGUGGAGCAGUAGGUGCCUAAGCAGACCAAACCCAGGCCUGGGCUCUCAGCAUGGUUUUUGCAUUCAUUAUUGGAUCUCAGAAUUGCAGUGUUUUCUAAAAAGAAGUGGUUUCUCCUGUCUGUAGUGUCUGGUUUUAGGGUUUCAUGCCUUCUUGCCUAUUUCUUGCUCACUGUUUUUACUCCUACUCAAUUGUCAUUGCAUCGUUUUCUAAACAGAGGAUGUAAAAUAGAGAUGAAGCAUUGAGAAAGUGGAACUGCCUCCUGGUGUUUGAUGGAAACCUUUCCUUUGUGUUUAUUGGACUAAGCAACCCCCAAGUGUUAUUUUAUUGAGAAUUGUUUUUACUUUGUCUGCUCUCCUCAACCACACUUCACUUAAAUGAGGAAACAAAUGUUAAUGUGGGAAAAAAAAAUGUCCUGUAGCUUUAAAUGGAACCAGUUGGAAGCUUUUGUCUUUUAUAAAAGAUGCUCACAGCUGGAGCAGAGAGGCAGAUACUAUCUGUGAUCUUUGCUCUCACAGUCAAACUGUUCAUUUGCAUUUAACAACCCUAGCAAACUGCAUAAUUGGGUGCGUGCAGGAGCUCAUGCGCGCGUGCGCAAAUUCACACACACACACACACACACACACACACACACACACACACACACACACGCAGCCUGUUAGGCUGAAGCAUUCUGUUUAUUCAGCACAGUCCUCCCAGACGCCCAGAUGUAAGGCUACAGAGUUGAUGCAGAACUGAACUGUACAUAGACCGAGGUGGGCACUGCGCUGCAGAGCAUCCGCUAUGCAGGAUGUUGAUGUGAUGCAGCUCUGCCUGCCUGUUGUGUGCAAGCCACUGCUCUAAGAUUGAAGGUGAGAAGCCCAAGGAUCGCCUAGAAGCUUCAUUGUGCCCAGCCCUUUGGUAGAAGAUGCGUCCCCAGUGGUAGCUGCCCUCAUUUACAGUGUGCAAGAGUGACAGAGUCUGCCGAUGCUCCUCUACAAUUUGGAAGCUGGAAAAAAAAAAAAAUGGAGAAAUCUUACAGCCAAGAGAGGUUGUGAUUUGUUUACAGAAUCCAAGCUUUUUCUGGUGUUCACACACGGAGGAUGGGCUUUGUGACAAGCAAAAUCAUCAGACUGCCUGACAGGGGUUUUUGGUAAGAUAAAUGUGUUAUGAAGAGGGGGGGUUUCUUGUGUUUUUUUAUUUUUCUAUAUCAGCUACAUAGAAUUGCACCUUAGUAGUAUUUAUUCUGCAGAAUCAUGUUGGGUGGAAAGGGUUGAGCAAAAGAGCCAGAAAAAAAAUAUUUUUGCUGCUUAUCCGAGUUGUGACCUUCAGAUAUAUUCAUCAGGUUUUCUCAGAUAAAUGUGAGCAAUUAGAAACUUGGCAUUUUUAGAGUGUGGGAUGCUCGCUUACAAUUCUGUCUUUUUCUUUUCUUUCUUUUCUUUUCUUUCUUCUUUUUUUUUUUAAUGUCUUUGGAUAGUUGUAAUUACCUCCCCCUACCCCCACCUCCCAGAAUUUUUUUAAAGUCUGCAGUGGAGAAAGGAGAGGAAAAAAAAAAAAAAGCUUUCAUCCUGUUACUGGGUCAUUCCCCUGGAACAGUACUAGGCUGAGAACAUGAGUAUAGAUGUGAAGGAAGGCAUGAUGAGCGAGCGGAGGCCUGUCUCUGGCUCCUUGUCAUUGCUGGUCAGUAUCCCACAGUGGUUUAAGCUUCAUCUCUUUGCCCUCUAUUAUAACUGAAUUUCCUUUCAUGUUUGCUUUUGCACAUUUUUCUUUGCCAGACCCAAUUCUGUCACAGAGCCUUUUUCUGUUAUUGUUAAUACACAGUGUUCUUUAUCAGAGAAUGGACAGGUGUAGAAAAUAGCCCUAGAGCACAAAACCUGGGGCUCAUAUAGUCCAGCACCACAGGAAAAGAGACAAAACAAUCCUCAAGUAGUUUUUGGUCCCUAAAACAAAAUAAUGAACGCUUUCUCUUUAAAAUGUAGGUUUUGAUUUUAGCAGACUUAAGCUUCUUAAUUUUAAACCUUAAUUUUAUUUUAACUAAAUUUAUUUUAAAUUUAAUUAAAAUUUAAAAAGCUAAAUUUUAAAUAAAUAGAAUUAUUUAAUUUUAGCUUUUUUUUAAGUUAAAGAAAUGUAUCUUUAUAGAGAGUUCCAGGAAUAAAUAAAUAAAUAGAAAAGAGAAAGAAGGAAGGAAAGGAAAGAGAGAAGAUUACAGUAGGUCCAUGAAGUCCUGCCAGGAUCACCUGGCUCUAGUCCCGUUCUGAGCUGGGUACUAUUAUAAUUUCUAAGGAUAAAGGUUUCCUUUUCUUCACUAUAACUUGGCCAUGUGUGGUUGGGAGGUCUGUGACCUAUUUCAUUGACCAAGCUCAAAUAUUGUCCUUGGACCCCUCCUCUCACCAGCAGGCACAGCCAAGUUUCCUAGCAGCUAGAGUGGGCACAGAAGCUGUCCAUUGACACCUGCCUUUCUGCUGACUCAUUGGUUAUGUAAGCCUUGAACACAGCCAUCCAGACACCCUCUAGGCUGGGAAAUAGGGACUGCCUGUUUACUCUCCUUGAGCUCUCCCCUCAAGCCUUUUUGUUCACAUGGUUCCUAGGCUUCAUUGCAGUGAAUAGAUACACCCUUUUUCUCAUUUUGAAUUGCUGCAUUUUUAAACUCUAAUUGCAUCUCUCCAUAAUGAAAUUCCCAUCUGUUCUCUUGGCACAUGAAACCUUCAAAAAUAGUGUUUUCUCUUACUUCUUGCCUGAUUAAAGUAAGGACUUCCUUUUCUAUCUUUGAGGGCUCAGUUUGAAUGCCUCAUUAUAGGUGCCUCUGGACUUUCCAUAUAAAGUAGGAAGGUUUCCUUUUUCUGUUACCGCUUUCCUCAAAGUACCCUGUUCUUUUCUUCAUGGUGGUUUCUACAGUUGACAUAGUUGAGUUACUGGUUUCUGUGUUUCUGUCACUUGCCAUUCAACUGUGAGUCUCAAGAAGGCAGAGAUAUUUCAUUCAUUGGUAAAUACCCAGCAAAUCACACAGUGGAGCUUACAGAAGGACUGGUAGACAGUAACAUGCACACACACCAGGGUGAAAGCAAAUAGGGUGAACACAGUGUGGAGAAAGCCUAUGUGAUGAAGGUGAAAAGUGAGAGACUAUACAUUGAGGCUCGGCGAGAUGGGAAUAGAUGUAGGGCCAAAGAACAUAAGACUGCAGAGGCCACAUUCAGAUUCUUGGGGUUUGCAGGGUCUGGGGAAUGUUUGAGCGUUGUUGGUUUGGGUGCUGGAGCUUCAUCCAUGAUUAGGCAAGUACUGUACUACCUGACUAUACCCCAACCCCAAACUUUUAUUCUUUAUUUUGAAAACUGGAGGGCUAAGCUUGGCAGUGGUAGUGCAUGCCUUUAGUCCCAGCACUCUGGAGGGUAAGGCCAGCCUGGUCUACAGAGAGGGUUCCAGGAUACCCAGGGCUUAGACUGUUCCAGGGAUUAGACUGUUGCUGUUGUGAAACCUUCAGUGAUGAUCUUGGGGAUGCAGGUAGGGCAGUAGUUUAGACCUGUAGAUUGCAGCUUGUCUCUCAUCAUAGCCUCUCCCUGAGCCAUGCUGUUACAGCCUCAGGUUUUACUCUGUCAUUCUAAAGUUCAUUUCUGUGCCAUUCCUUAUUCGAGGCUGCUAGCUUGAAAGGUCUUUCCUUAUUCCUUCUGUCAAAAACUUCUUUUGAGGCUCAUUUCACCAUCACCUCCAAGAAGCUUUCUCUGUUUCCUUUCCCUUGUUUUGCUGUGUUUAUGUUUUUGAGACAGUCUCUUUAAGCUCAGUCCACUUCCUUCAGCUUUCCAAGUGCUGGGGGUAUAAGCCUGCAUUGCCACACUUGGUACCUUCAGGGAAUAUGUUGGCCAAAUCUACCAUGUUGUCUUAAUUGGACCUUCCUUUCCGUGGUAGUUAGGUUUUAUUGGUUAGAUCAUCUGUUCUUGGAGAACAGAGAUUCAACCUUUAUUGAAUGGGUUUUUUUACAAAGAAGCAAACAAUAACUAUAAAAUUAAUUGAACCAGGUAAUAUGGAUGUGUGCAUACAUGUGUGUAUACAACCCACAUCUACAGUGUCUAUCACAACACCAUGAUGUGCUUCUGCUUCUAUCCCUAUCUGGUUCAAUAACCCUGUCAAGACUGUCCCACAUCUUAGCAGAAACAGCUCAGUUAGAAUAUAAAAUAUAAAAUGUCUUUUAAGAGGUUUAAAAG